CGCUGGCGGCGUGCUUAACACAUGGCAAAGUCGAACGGAGCGUUAGUGGGAAAGAGACUUCGGUCAAGUGGAAUUAAGCUUAGUGGCGACGGUGAGUAACGCGUGAGGAACCUGCCUUUCAGAGGGGGACAACAGUUGGAAACGACUGCUAAUACCGCAUAACGUAUACGGGUCGCAUGGUCUGUAUACCAAAGAUUUAUCGCUGAAAGAUGGCCUCGCGUCUGAUUAGCUAGUUGGUGAGGUAACGGCCCACCAAGGCGACGAUCAGUAGCCGGACUGAGAGGUUGAACGGCCACAUUGGAACUGAGAUACGGUCCAGACUCCUACGGGAGGCAGCAGUGGGGAAUAUUGGGCAAUGGGCGAAAGCCUGACCCAGCGACGCCGCGUGAGGGAAGAAGAUCUUCGGAUUGUAAACCUUAGUCAACAGGGAAGAAGAAAGUGACGGUACCUGUGGAGGAAGCCACGGCUAACUACGUG
rnacentral:rRNA from 1 species